GUAAGGGCGCGUAGGCGGACAGUUAAGUUGGGGGUGAAAGCCCGGGGCUCAACCUCGGAAAUGCCUUCAAUACUGGCUGUCUUGAGUACGGGAGAGGUGAGUGGAACUCCGAGUGUAGAGGUGAAAUUCGUAGAUAUUCGGAAGAACACCAGUGGCGAAGGCGACUCACUGGCCCGUUACUGACGCUGAGGCGCGAAAGCGUGGGGAGCAAACAGGAUUAGAUACCCUGGUAGUCCA
rnacentral:rRNA from 1 species